rnacentral:rRNA from 1 species
AUUGAACGCUGGCGGCAUGCUUUGCACAUGCAAGUCGAACGGUAACAGGGUGCUUGCACCGCUGACGAGUGGCGAACGGGUGAGUAAUGCGUCGGAACGUGCCGAGUAGUGGGGGAUAACGCAGCGAAAGUUGUGCUAAUACCGCAUACGUACUGAGGUAGAAAGUGGGGGACCUUCGGGCCUCACGCUAUUCGAGCGGCCGACGUCUGAUUAGCUAGUAGGUGAGGUAAAGGCUCACCUAGGCGACGAUCAGUAGCGGGUCUGAGAGGAUGAUCCGCCACACUGGGACUGAGGCACGGCCCAGACUCCUACGGGAGGCAGCAGUGGGGAAUUUUGGACAAUGGGCGAAAGCCUGAUCCAGCCAUGCCGCGUGUCUGAAGAAGGCCUUCGGGUUGUAAAGGACUUUUGUCGGGGAGGAAAUCCCCAGCGUUAAUACCGCUGGGGGAUGACAGUACCUGAAGAAUAAGCACCGGCUAACUACGUGCCAGCCGCCGCCGUAAAAC